GGUUUAGAACGUCGUGAGACAGUUCGGUCCCUAUCUGCCGUGGGCGCUGGAAGAUUGAGAGGGGUUGCUCCUAGUACGAGAGGACCGGAGUGAACGCACCACUGGUGUACGGGUUGUGAUGCCAAUUGCAUUGCCCGGUAGCUAAGUGCGGAAGAGAUAACCGCUGAAAGCAUCUAAGCGGGAAACUUGCCUCGAGAUGAGUCUUCCCUGACCCUUUAAGGGUCCUGAAGGAACGUUUGAGACUAAGACGUUGAUAGGCUGGGUGUGUAAGCGCAGCGAUGCGUUGAGCUGACCAGUACUAAUGAACCGUGAGGCUUAACCUGACAACACCGAAGGUGUUU
rnacentral:rRNA from 1 species